CCCACAUCAGAGGUGGCAGAGAAUAAUGGAAAAGAAAGAAUAUCUCCGAGGGCACAGCUUGCAGCCAUGGAGUACAAUGGAUGAAAGAACUCCUUUCAAGGCUCACAAUUAAGGCCUCACCACCCCCAGGUCUAGUGGCGCCUUCACCUCUUCUUCCCAGUGGGAUUUCAUCUUUGCUGUGUGUCCCUAAUCUUCUUCUUUCCAAGUGGGAAUGUGUAUUGUGGUUGUCCUGCCCCCUUCCACCAGUGUAUGUCCAGUGGAGGGGGAAAGUUCAUACAGUUUCCUUUCAGUUCAUAGAUCACCUGAUCAAGAAGAAUUUCAUGCGAACCUGGCAGAGAGGCCCUUGUGUUCCGUAGAGCUUGAUAUAGUGACUGGAUUGGACUCUGGCGUGUCUCCCCUGAGGCAGUGGCAAGAAGACAAGCAGGGAAAGAUGUCCUCGAGUUUUGUCAGUAUGCCUGGGUGCCAUCUUUGCUCUUCUCCAAAGACAGAACAACAAUCACUUCACCCUGGGUCAACAGUGGUCAAUCAGCAGAGAUAAAUAUUCCCUGAGAAGUGCAGAGGUGCUGCGGGAGAGCCCCGGCAGGAUCUCAUGGCUGCACUACUCCAUAAAGACUCAGUGUUGUACUUCGGAAACUCAAGCUCUUCGACUGGCACAUGCUAAAGCUGAUAGGUGGAAGGAACCGUAAUCCAAGGGUGCUAAGAGUUCUGCCCACAUCCUGUGCCCUCUCAGCAGUGGCUCUCAAAGGGAAAACUCAAAAUCGACUCAGUGAAGCUGGUGCUUCAGCAGAUUCCAGGCCCAGAGUCCGCCUCGCGUGUAUGCCGCUCACAGUAGCCAUGAUUUGCAUCAAGUAGCAUCAUACCUUGGAUUUGUUUUAGACCAUGGAGCAACCUCAGCUCAUUACCAGCAAGAAAACUGUGACUCUGGUGCCGUGCUUGACCACAGCUGCAGUGGACUUCCAGGCUCCAUUAACUCCGCAGCCCCCAGGACCCUUCCGUGACAGCCUGUGCGGCUACAUCAAGUGGCUCUUCACUGAACUCCUGAGAGCCUAAGGAUCUGUGAAGAAUGUUGGACAAAAUAAAAGGAUG
rnacentral:lncRNA from 1 species